AACCCGAUGCAAACUACGAAUACCGAAGAAUGUUAUCACGGGAGACACACGGCGGGUGCUAACGUCCGUCGUGAAGAGGGAAACAACCCAGACCGCCAGCUAAGGUCCCAAAGUCAUGGUUAAGUGGGAAACGAUGUGGGAAGGCACAGACAGCCAGGAUGUUGGCUUAGAAGCAGCCAUCAUUUAAAGAAAGCGUAAUAGCUCACUGGUCGAGUCGGCCUGCGCGGAAGAUGUAACGGGGCUAAACCAUGCACCGAAGCUGCGGCAGCGACACUAUGUGUUGUUGGGUAGGGGAGCGUUCUGUAAGCCUGCGAAGGUGUGCUGUGAGGCAUGCUGGAGGUAUCAGAAGUGCGAAUGCUGACAUAAGUAACGAUAAAGCGGGUGAAAAGCCCGCUCGCCGGAAGACCAAGGGUUCCUGUCCAACGUUAAUCGGGGCAGGGUGAGUCGACCCCUAAGGCGAGGCCGAAAGGCGUAGUCGAUGGGAAACAGGUUAAUAUUCCUGUACUUGGUGUUACUGCGAAGGGGGGACGGAGAAGGCUAUGUUAGCCGGGCGACGGUUGUCCCGGUUUAAGCAUGUAGGCUGAUUGUCCAGGCAAAUCCGGAUAAUCAAGGCUGAGGUGUGAUGACGAGGCACUACGGUGCUGAAGUAACAAAUGCCCUGCUUCCAGGAAAAGCCUCUAAGCAUCAGGUAACAUCAAAUCGUACCCCAAACCGACACAGGUGGUCAGGUAGAGAAUACCAAGGCGCUUGAGAGAACUCGGGUGAAGGAACUAGGCAAAAUGGUGCCGUAACUUCGGGAGAAGGCACGCUGGUGUGUAGGUGAAGUCCCUGCGGAUGGAGCUGAGACCAGUCGAAGAUACCAGCUGGCUGCAACUGUUUAUUAAAAACACAGCACUGUGCAAACACGAAAGUGGACGUAUACGGUGUGACGCCUGCCCGGUGCCGGAAGGUUAAUUGAUGGGGUUAUCCGUAAGGAGAAGCUCUUGAUCGAAGCCCCGGUAAACGGCGGCCGUAACUAUAACGGUCCUAAGGUAGCGAAAUUCCUUGUCGGGUAAGUUCCGACCUGCACGAAUGGCGUAAUGAUGGCCAGGCUGUCUCCACCCGAGACUCAGUGAAAUUGAACUCGCUGUGAAGAUGCAGUGUACCCGCGGCAAGACGGAAAGACCCCGUGAACCUUUACUAUAGCUUGACACUGAACAUUGAGCCUUGAUGUGUAGGAUAGGUGGGAGGCUUUGAAGCGUGGACGCCAGUCUGCGUGGAGCCAACCUUGAAAUACCACCCUUUAAUGUUUGAUGUUCUAACGUUGGCCCCUGACCGGGGUUGCGGACAGUGUCUGGUGGGUAGUUUGACUGGGGCGGUCUCCUCCCAAAGCGUAACGGAGGAGCACGAAGGUUAGCUAAUCCUGGUCGGACAUCAGGAGGUUAGUGCAAUGGCAUAAGCUAGCUUGACUGCGAGCGUGACGGCGCGAGCAGGUGCGAAAGCAGGUCAUAGUGAUCCGGUGGUUCUGAAUGGAAGGGCCAUCGCUCAACGGAUAAAAGGUACUCCGGGGAUAACAGGCUGAUACCGCCCAAGAGUUCAUAUCGACGGCGGUGUUUGGCACCUCGAUGUCGGCUCAUCACAUCCUGGGGCUGAAGUAGGUCCCAAGGGUAUGGCUGUUCGCCAUUUAAAGUGGUACGCGAGCUGGGUUUAGAACGUCGUGAGACAGUUCGGUCCCUAUCUGCCGUGGGCGCUGGAGAAUUGAGGGGGGCUGCUCCUAGUACGAGAGGACCGGAGUGGACGCAUCACUGGUGUUCGGGUUGUCAUGCCAAUGGCACUGCCCGGUAGCUAAAUGCGGAAGAGAUAAGUGCUGAAAGCAUCUAAGCACGAAACUUGCCCCGAGAUGAGUUCUCCCUGAGACUUUAAGUCUCCUGAAGGAACGUUAAAGACGAUGACGUUGAUAGGCCGGGUGUGUAAGCGCAGCGAUGCGUUGAGCUAACCGGUACUAAUGAACCGUGAGGCUUAACCUU
rnacentral:rRNA from 1 species